AGAACCUUGAAGACACUGAUGAAAUUUGUGCAGAUUCAAGAUAUCAUUUUGAUCAUGGAAGUGGUUCUCAGGUACCAAUGAUAAAUAACUUAUGAUAUGCAUGAUCGUUCAGUCUGAUAGCACUUUAACUGUUAUUGCUUAGUUUGAUAGGUAGUGAACAUGUAUUGUUUAGUCUGAUAGAACUUGAACUUGUGAUAUGCAUGAUCUAAUCGUUAGUCUGUUAGAACUUGAACAUGUUGGUAUCAAGAGUCUGACUUAUGUUAUAGUCUAAUCUAUCUUGGUCUCUUCUUGUUGCAGAUGACGUGUGAUUCACGAAACCAUUCGAGGUCCUUUGUAGUCAUAAGCUAUAGUUAAGAGUUCCUUUGUAAGUUUGCACGAAACCAUUUGUGUUUCUUUUCUGAGGGAAGAACAUAAACAAAAUGUGAAUAUAUAUCAAUACACUAGUUGAAUGAAUCACGUUUUGACCUGUGCAGGUUCUUGGUCCCACGAGACAUGACUGUUGGACACUUCAUUCACAUGCUAAGCAAUAGACUACACCGAACUACAUCCAAAGCUCUGUUUGUUUUAGUACAGAACACACUUCCUCAACAGCUGCUCCCAUGGACUCUUUGAACAAUACUGCCGUCUCCAAGCCCAGCUUCAAAAGCAGAGGAGAUGAGAGCAUGCUUAAGAUCACUAAGACGAAACCACAAGUAAGAAAAACGUUUUAUUUUUAAGAGCUUAGAUA